GGUCCUGCCUGCUCCAUCUACGCACUGUUGGUUAACAGUGGACCCUCUGACUCUCAUGAGGAUGAUCGGACAUGUGACAGAAGACCAGGAGUCCGGGAGGCUGCCCUUUCCUGCUUUAACUUUGUUCUGUCAGAAUUGAUAAGAUUUCGAUUUCCAGUUAAAACCCGCCAUCGGGUGUUCAGCAGGACAGUGAAAGAACGCCUGGCACACUGAACCAACAGUCAGAGGUUGAACCUACCAGCAAAGCUGACUCUGAUGGACAAACGCUUCCUAGGGCUCCUUCCUGAAGCAGCUGCUAUCUGCAGACCUCCUGGACUGCCCUGGGAAGGGAGUGGGAGCUCCUGCCACAGAUGGGCGGAACAUCGGCAAGAAGGGUUAAAGGUGGCCAAAAAUAACAGUGCCUUCCAGAUGAGGUGACCUCAGAGCCAAGAGCAUCAUGGGCUAGUGGCCUGCCAAUCACAGGACAUCAGCAUGCGCAGAGCCCAGCAUCUUCUCCAGGUUCAGCUUUUACAUCUUCCUUUGGAGGGCCUUCUCCGAUCUCAGGACCGCAGGUGAGGUUCUAUCUUUGGUAAGCAUUUUCUCCGUCUAGUCACCACUAAAAGCACUUUUCAUCUGGACCUUUAGUCUCUGAAUACCAACCAGGGUGGAAUUCACCUUUAAUCCUCACAGAGGUUGAGUUUCUUUCCUCUUAGUACAAAGCCACAUAUAUCCACUGUGGAGAAUUUAGAACACACAGAAAAGCAAAAUUAUAUUUGUGUGCACCAUGACUACCCUUUGAUGUGGGCCCUGCUUGAUAUGAUGAUUUUUAUAGACAAAACCCAGCCGCACUUAGAUGGGAAAUACUUUCUUCUGGGCUGCUUGCUGGCUGGUAGAACCAGUUCCAUGGAAUGUCAGUGCCAGGCCCCAGCUGAUUGGCACAGGGCUGGCUAUCGCCCUGGUUGGGCGUGUGUCUGCUCUUUCUUUCAGAUUCAAUCAGAUAGUGUCUGAGACUGAACCUAUAAUAUCUCACUGAGGUAGGAUUAGUCACUGUGCCUGGAAACUUAGCGCUUUGCUGGGGAAGGUGGUUUGUAGGAGAGAAUGGAGGAAACUGUGAGACACUGAGGGAAAGUCAGAGUUAAAGGCAGCAGAACUCCACACACCUGGUCCCAGUGUUCUCGGUGACUUUUCUCAGGUGGCCUUGCCUCCGGAUCUUGACUCUGUCCUUGAGCAGUGUCUAUGAGAUGCUGGUACCUGCAUCUAACCAUGCCUGCCCAAGAGGAUUGCUUUUUGUAUACUCCCUUUGCAAUGAAUAAUAGACUUUCUCUGUGUAUCAUGUGAUCAUCCAGAUUAUAAUUUUCAAUAUGGUAGGUCAAGUGCUGUGGGGGGAGGGACACUGCAGCUAAUGUGAGCAGCUUGAGCUCUGGUUUGGAAUAGCCCUGAGUUCACAGGCCCUUCCUCGUCUCCUUUGCUGUGUGAUUCAGUCAGCCGAUGAACACUAUUUAUCUCAGUAUUUUCAUCUGUAAAAUGGGAAAUCGCAAGAAAUCUUAGAGUUCCUAGACUUAAACUUGCAAUAUAGCAGAGGGUGGCCUUACAUUCCUG